rnacentral:rRNA from 1 species
UACGGAGGGUGCAAGCGUUAUCCGGAAUCAUUGGGGUUAAAGGGUCCGCAGGCGGGAAGAUAAGUCAGUGGUGAAAUCUCACAGCUCAACUGUGAAACUGCCAUUGAUACUGUCUUUCUUGAAUUCGAUCGAAGUGGGCGGAAUGUGACAUGUAGCGGUGAAAUGCUUAGAUAUGUCACAGAACACCGAUAGCGAAGGCAGCUCACUAGGUCUUGAUUGACGCUCAGGGACGAAAGCGUGGGGAGCAAACAGG